rnacentral:rRNA from 1 species
GGCGAGUGAAGCGGGAAAAGCUCAAAAUUAAAAUCUGGCAAGACUUGAUCUUGUCCGAAUUGUAGUUUAAAGAAGCGUUUUCGGGGGUGGAUGGGGUCCAAGUCCAUUGGAAUAUGGAGCCAUAGAGGGUGAUAGCCCCGUACGGCCCUGCAACCCACUCCUAUACGAUACGUUUUCUAAGAGUCGUACAGCUAGGGAAUGCUGUGCUAAGAGGGAGGUAAAUACCUUCUAAAGCUAAAUACCGGCGAGAGACCGAUAGCGAACAAGUACCGUGAGGGAAAGUUGCAAAGAACUCUGAAAAGAGAGUUAAACAGUACGUGAAAUUGUCCAAAGGGAAACGCUUAGACACCCUCGCGCGGGGCGCAGCCAUCAACUUGUUAUUAGGCAAGCGCACUGGCUCGUUGCUCUGGCAGAAGAUCGGUUAGAUUUUUUUUUCGGGGUAGAAAGCCCGCUGGAAGGUGGCCUGUUCUUCGGGACAGGUGUUUAUAGCCGGCGGGCGAUGCCCUGGGUUUGACCGAGGACUACUGCCACCUUGGGGAAGCAGUCUUUCCUUGCCCUUGCAGCCGGAAAACAACCUAGUUGAUUUCUGUGCUUGCGCCUAGGGUAGGCCAAAGCUGUGUACCACUUUGUGGCAUAGGAUCUUCUGAGAACGGUUCGAAGCGACCCGUCUUGAAACACGGACCAAGGAGUCCAACACACAGGCAAGUCUUUGGGUGUCAAACCCGCAGGCGAAAUGAAAGUGAUUUAUUUUCUACAGGUGCCAACCCCGCUUUGCGGCGGGAUGCAGCAUCGGCCGGAUCUUGAGGUUUACCAAAGGAUCUGAGUAGGAGCCUGUUUGUUGGGACCCGAAAGAUGGUGAACUAUACCUGAGUAGGGUGAAGUCAGAGGAAA